rnacentral:rRNA from 1 species
CACUGACGUCGCGACGCAUAUCAAUAAGCGGAGGAAAAGAAACUAACAAGGAUUCCCUUAGUAACGGCGAGUGAAGCGGGAAGAGCUCAAAUUUGAAAUCUUCAAGGUUCUACCUUGACGAAUUGUAGUUUAUAGAAGUGUUUUCUGUUAGUGGAGUGGCAAAAGUCCUUUGGAAUAGGACAUCAUAGAGGGUGAGAAUCCCGUAUUUGACCUUUACUUUCAACUUUGUGAUACACUUUCAAAGAGUCGGAUUGUUUGGGAAUGCAGUCCAAAAUGGGUGGUAAAUUUCAUCUAAAGCUAAAUAUUGGCGAGAGACCGAUAGCGAACAAGUACCGUGAGGGAAAGAUGAAAAGAACUUUGAAAAGAGAGUUAAACAGUACGUGAAAUUGUCAAAAGGGAAGCGUUUGACACCAGUGUUGUUUUUCCGAAAAUCAAUUACGAAUGUUUUGUUUUUGAGGAGUUAUGACUUCAUCGGCUUGCUCCUUUCUUUCCGAAUCUUUUUUAAUGCACUUUUCGGUUAACAAGUCAACAUCAAUUUACUUUUGUUGUAAAAGAGUCAUUGAGGAAGGUGGCUUUCUUUUCGGAGAAAGUGUUUAUAGCCUUUGGCUUCUGCAAUCGGAGAGAUUGAGGUCUGCAGCGUAGAUCCUUCGGGGUUAGAUACGUUUGUGCUAAGUUAUAGCUUUUCAUAGACAACUUGUUGACUAUGUUUAGUCUUGUAGCUUACUCGCUUAUGCUAUUUUACCUACGCUUAGGAUGUUGAUGUGAUACUGCGAGCA